rnacentral:ncRNA from 1 species
UGUAAAUUUAAUUCUGGUUUAUUAUGAAUAAUUUAUAUGAUAAAUUUUAAUAUGUAAAUAUUUGUGUGAUAGUAUGAAUAUUUAAAUAAUAUUUAUUUAUUAAUAAAAGUAUACGCAGUUUUUAUUUUUAUGUAUUUAAUAAAUUAAGACAUAGUUAAUUUUAUUGAUUGACUAGCAAAAAUUGUGCCAGCAGCUGCGGUUACACAAUUAGUCAAUAUUAUUUAUAUUAGAAUUUUAUUAUUUACUAAUUGUUUUGGUUAUAAAAAUUAUAUUUUUAAGUGAAAUUUAAUUUUAAUUUAUUAAUUUGGUUAGAUAAUUUUAUUAUAAGAAAUUCUUUAUUUAAAACUAGGAUUAGAUACCCUAUUAUUUAGAAUGUAAAAAUUUUAUUCUUAGUAUUAUAAGUUAAGAUCUUUAAAUUGAAAGAAUUUGACGGUAAUUUUAAUCAUUUUAGAGGAACCUGUUCUAUAAUUGAUAAUCCACGAUAAAUUUUACCUUUAAAUAUAUUGUUUGUAUAUCUCUGUCUGAAAUUGAAUGUUUUAUUAGAAUAUUUUCUUUAAUUUUUAUGAAAAUUUAUGUCAGGUCAAGGUGCAGUUAAUGUAAAGGUUUGAAAUGGGUUACAUUUAAUUUAUCUUUUAAUUAUUGGAUUAAUUUAUUUAUUUAAUUUAUGAAAUUGGAUUUAAUUGUAAUAAAUAAUAUAUAUUGUUUAUGAUAUAUGUUCUUGGUUAAGUACAUAUCGCCCGUCACUCUCGUUAUAAGAUGAGAUAAGUCGUAACAAAGUAGUUCUAUCGGAAGAUGGAGCUGGAAUUAUA